rnacentral:rRNA from 1 species
GACGAACGCUGGCGGCGUGCUUAACACAUGCAAGUCGAACGGAGAGGCCCUGCUUUUGUGGGGUGCUCGAGUGGCGAACGGGUGAGUAACACGUGAGUAACCUGCCCUUGACUUUGGGAUAACUUCAGGAAACUGGGGCUAAUACCGGAUAGGAGCUCCUGCUGCAUGGUGGGGGUUGGAAAGUUUCGGCGGUUGGGGAUGGAAUCGCUGCUUAUCAGCUUGUUGGUGGGGUAGUGGCUUUCAAAGGCUUUGACGGGUAGCCGGCCUGAGAGGGUGACCGGCCACAUUGGGACUGAGGUACGGCCCAGACUCCUACGGGAGGCAGCAGUCGGGAAUAUUGCACAAUGGGCGGACGCCUGAUGCAGCAACGCCGCGUGCGGGAUGACGGCCUUCGGGUUGUAAACCGCUUUCGCCUGUGACGAAGCGUGAGUGACGGUAAUGGGUAAAGAAGCACCGGCUAACUACGUG